AGAGUUUGAUCCUGGCUCAGGAUGAACGCUAGCUAUAGGCUUAACACAUGCAAGUCGAGGGGAAACGGCAUUAUGUGCUUGCACAUUUUGGACGUCGACCGGCGCACGGGUGAGUAUCGCGUAUCUAACCUGCCCUUUACUUGGGGAUACCCCGUUGAAAGACGGCCUAAUACCCGAUGUAAUUCAUUGAUGGCAUCAGAUAUGAAUAAAAGAUUUAUCGGUAAAGGAUGGGGAUGCGUCUGAUUAGCUUGUUGGUGAGGUAAAGGCUCACCAAGGCGACGAUCAGUAGGGGUUCUGAGAGGAAGGUCCCCCACAUUGGAACUGAGACACGGUCCAAACUCCUACGGGAGGCAGCAGUGAGGAAUAUUGGUCAAUGGACGGAAGUCUGAACCAGCCAAGUAGCGUGCAGGAAGACGGCCCUAUGGGUUGUAAACUGCUUUUAUACGAGAAUAAUUUGAUGCACGUGUGCGUUAUUGCAUGUAUCGUAUGAAUAAGGACCGGCUAAUUCCGUGCCAGCAGCCGCGGUAAUACGGAAGGUCCAGGCGUUAUCCGGAUUUAUUGGGUUUAAAGGGAGUGUAGGCGGUUUGUUAAGCGUGUUGUGAAAUUUAGGUGCUCAACAUUUAACUUGCAGCGCGAACUGUCAGACUUGAGUACACGCAACGUAUGCGGAAUUCAUGGUGUAGCGGUGAAAUGCUUAGAUAUCAUGAAGAACUCCGAUUGCGAAGGCAGCAUACGGGAGUGUAACUGACGCUUAAGCUCGAGGGUGCGGGUAUCGAACAGGAUUAGAUACCCUGGUAGUCCGCACAGUAAACGAUGGAUGCCCGCUGUUAGCGCCUGGCGUUAGCGGCUA
rnacentral:rRNA from 1 species